UUACGAGGAAAUCUGAUUCCUGCUACUCUGGCUGCUGCUGCAGCUUCAGUAAAGACAGAGAAUGGUUGUCUCUCCUUUCCCCUAAUAUGUAACCGGUCAUGAAUGACAACUGGAAUCGUCUCACUAAUCUGCUGUUAUGAUCCAUCUUCCUUUCACUGAGAACUGGCCUUUGUUUUCACAAGAAAAGCUUCCCUAACAACAAAUACACUCCAUACCUUACACUACCCCUUGUUUUUUAAGACAAUUAAAGCUUUCCACUGAUGACAGACAUAUAGCUAGUUAAUACUUUCUACAGUCGAUAAACAUGUGCAGCAGUUAGAAUAUUGAUAAAGGAUGGAUUCACAGUAAGCUCUCUAAACAUUCUGCCACCAAUUUUUACCUUUAAAUACCUCCUUCACCUCAGACCAUAAUAAAGUCUUUUUAUAACUAAGUUAA